AGUGAACGCUGGCGGUAGGCCUAACACAUGCCAGUCGAACGGCAGCACAGUAAGAGCUUGCUCUUACGGGUGGCGAGUGGCGGACGGGUGAGGAAUACAUCGGAAUCUACUUUUUCGUGGGGGAUAACGUAGGGAAACUUACGCUAAUACCGCAUACGACCUACGGGUGAAAGCAGGGGAUCUUCGGACCUUGCGCGAUCGAAUGAGCCGAUGUCGGAUUAGCUAAUUGGCGGGGUAAAGGCCCACCAAGGCGACGAUCCGUAGCUGGUCUGAGAGGAUGAUCAGCCACACUGGAACUGAGACACGGUCCAGACUCCUACGGGAGGCAGCAGUGGGGAAUAUUGGACAAUGGGCGCAAGCCUGAUCCAGCCAUACCGCGUGGGUGAAGAAGGCCUUCGGGUUGUAAAGCCCUUUUGUUGGGAAAGAAAAGCAGCAGGUUAAUACCCCGCUGUUCUGACGGUACCCAAAGAAUAAGCACCGGCUAACUUCGUG
rnacentral:rRNA from 1 species